rnacentral:misc_RNA from 1 species
CGCAGCUUGGAAGGAAUUUAUCAGGAUAUGAUAAUCACAUAAUGGCUUGAUAUUCUAUUAACUGACAAGCUCCACAUAGUGGUAACUAAAAGAAUAUCAUACAAAACCAUUUCAAAAUGAAACACAGCUCCAAAAAUGAUUCAAAGCUAUAUCAAAUUUUUAAUAAAAAUAGUAAAAAAUAAAGAGAAAAAAUUUAAGUUUAUCGGUAGCUAAGUAAGGACUCUAGCGGCAACAUUUCUAUAUUUCUGCAGCAAAAUCCAUUUAGAUUCUGACUUCUAUUCCUUCCUUCAACAAGUGCUCUUUUACAGACUGAAUGGGUACCUCCUUCCUAUGGAAAAUGCCAGCAGCAAGAGCAGCAGAUGCAUUUGUUUUUGUGAACACCUCGGAGAAGUGUUCAACAGCACCUGCACCACUACUUGCAAUCACAGGGAUACUCACAGCAUCAGAGAUCAACUUUAUUAAAUCUAUAUCAAAUCCUUUCCCUUGACCAUCACAAUCAAUGCAGUUCAGCAAUAUUUCUCCCGCUCCCAGCUCUUCAACUGCUUUUGCCAGUUCAUAGGCUCCAAUUAGUCGACCUUCUCGGCCACCACUAACCGUACACUGAUACCAUGCAUAUUCUUCUCCAUUUGGACCUGGGCCAGUAACCCUUACAGUUUUGAACUCCACAUCACUAGGAUUCUUGAGGUAGACUCUACGAGGAUCAAUACUUACAACCACUGCCUGAUUUCCAUAAACUCUAGAUAUCUGUUCUAUGCUGCUCUUUCCAGUCUUUACUUUUGUUCUUAUGUAUUCUUCUGCAGCAUAGACAGCAUCACUUCCAAUAGAAAUUUUGUCUGCACCUGACCUAAAAUAUUCUGAAGCAACUUCCAAACUAGAAUAGUACCUGCCAUUAGCAUCUGUAAAAUCUCUAAUUCCACCUCCAACGGUCAGUGGUACAAAAACAUUUUCUGAAGUGUACCUCAAAACCUGCAACAUUGGUAAAUCACCUAAAGGGAAGUCUCGGAAACCAGUAAUAUUCAGAAAACUAACCUCAUCAGCCCCAUCUUUGUAAUAUUGUCCAGCAAGCUCCACUGGCUUACCAAGAUUUCUAACCUCAUUUUCUUUUUUGUGUUCUCUUACAUCAUACUGGUCUCCUUUGGUUACAACAAGAUCUCCUUUAUCAUUUGUCCUCACAUCAAGACAAGCAAUUACCCUCUUUGCAAGUUUUGAUGCCUUUCCAGCUGUAGGCUUCUUUGUCAGAGAUGACUUUGGAAGCAAAAACCUUCUCAGUACUGAAAGACCAACAUCUCCACUCUUCUCUGGAUGGAACUGAACUGCAUUUACAUUCCCCCUUCUAACUGAUGCUAUGAAGUCCUCACCAUAAUUGCAGGUAGAAGAAAUCCACUCUUUAUUUUCAUGAGAUGGCAUGGCACGGUAAGAGUGAACAAAGUAAACAUGGCGAUUUCCAAUAUCAUCCAAAAUUUCAGUUUCUUUUGCAAUUUGCAAAGUGUUCCAGCCGAUAUGGGGUACUCUGAAACCCUUUGAUGAGUCAAAACGCCCCACCACACCAGGUAUCAAGCCAAGACCAUUCACUGGACCAUUCUCCUCACUAGACUCGAAAAGUAGUUGAAGUCCUAAACAAAUGCCUAAAAAUGGGCGAUCCUUCUCAAUAUAGGUACAAAGUGCUUCGGCCAUCCCGGUCUUGUUAAGGACAUCCAUGGCAGCCGCAAAAGCCCCUACACCAGGAAAAAUAAGACAGUUUGCAUUCAGAAUAUCCGCCGGAGUUUGCACGUCUUUGAUUUCAAAGCCGAGAUGGCGAAUGGCAUUUCUCACGCUACGGACAUUUCCGGCGCCAUAGUCGAGCAGAGUCACUACUGCAAAAGGAGAAAACAAGCAAGAAUUCUGAUCAUAUAUGCAGAGAAAAAAAGAGUAUAAAAAGAUGAAAGUGUACUUAGAGAGAAAGAAAGGGGAACAGAAUCGGAGGUAGAAGACGCCCGGACUGAGAGGUUUCUUGGAGGCUUGAACUUUGAUAGGCUGAGGUCAGUAUUAUAGAAUUUUUUGGGAAGUGAAAUGAGAGAAGACGAGGACAAAGAUGAAACUCGGGAAAGUUUAGAAGAAGAAGGACAAGGAGAAGCAAAUGGCGCCGCCUCCAUUGCAGAGCUCCAAAACAGAAACUGCUCUCUCCAUUAGAAGCGGGGCACUGGUUGGGCGUGCAGUAGCAAUUAGCAAAGCAUUUCGAAGAAUAGAGUCAAGGACAACGACGUCGUUUUAUUCCCCAAUUUUUUCAUUUCAAUCAAUUCAGUAUUCAUUCUCGCUGUCAGAAUUCCUAAAAGGGGAAAUAUAUACAUCUGAAACUGCACUUGCGGGUUAUUAAAUUGCCAAUUCUUACCAAACGUGCACCAUUUGAUUUCCCACGGUAAAGAUAUUCUCUGCUGCUACCUCAGAUCAUGGAAGCUGUAAUAUUCUUUAACUAAAUUGUGAUUCUUGAAAAGCACAUAACACAGAGGCUUACUUUUUUAUCUCCUUUUUCAUCCCAUAAGAUCUCUGCAAAUUCUCUGAACCAUAGAAAAAGAUAGAAAAAAAGAACUUGUUGGUGGGUUUCAGACAUGAUUAGUGUUUU